UGGGGAAUAUUGCACAAUGGGCGAAAGCCUGAUGCAGCAACGCCGCGUGAGUGAUGACGGUCUUCGGAUUGUAAAGCUCUGUCUUUGGGGACGAUAAUGACGGUACCCAAGGAGGAAGCCACGGCUAACUACGUGCCAGCAGCCGCGGUAAUACGUAGGUGGCAAGCGUUGUCCGGAUUUACUGGGCGUAAAGGGUGCGUAGGCGGACCUUUAAGUGAGAUGUGAAAUCCCCGAGCUUAACUUGGGGGCUGCAUUUCAAACUAGAGGUCUAGAGUGCAGGAGAGGAGAGUGGAAUUCCUAGUGUAGCGGUGAAAUGCGUAGAGGUUAGGAAGAACACCAGUGGCGAAGGCGACUCUCUGGACUGUAAUUGACGCUGAGGCACGAAAGCGUGGGGAGCAAACAG
rnacentral:rRNA from 1 species